rnacentral:rRNA from 1 species
AGGAUAAACGCUGGCGGCGUGCCUAAAACAUGCAAGUCGAACGGACACUUCGGUGUUAGUGGCGAACGGCUGAGUAACACGUGGGUGACCUGCCUUCGAGCGGGGGAUAACUGCCCGAAAGGGUGGCUAAUACCGCAGAUGUCGUGCUUUCGUUAGUGCGACUGAACCGAUUUAGGGUUCGGAGAGGGGCCUGCGUCCGAUUAGCUAGUUGGUGGGGUAAAGGCUUACCAAGGCGACGAUCGGUAGCUGGUCUGAGAGGAUGAUCAGCCAGACUGGGACUGCGAGACGGCCCAGACUCCUACGGGAGGCAGCAGUUAGGAAUUUUGGGCAAUGGGCGAAAGCCUGACCCAGCAACGCCGCGUGGCGAAGAAGGCCUUCGGGUCGUAAAGCCCUUUUUCCAGGGAAGAUAAUGACGGUACCCUGGGAAUCAGCCCGGCUAACUACGUGCCAGCAGCCGC